rnacentral:rRNA from 1 species
AGAGUUUGAUCCUGGCUCAGGAUGAACGCUGGCGGCGUGCUUAACACAUGCAAGUCGAACGAGAACCAAUGGAUCGAGGAUUCGUCCAAGUGAAGUUGGGGAAAGUGGCGGACGGGUGAGUAACGCGUGAGCAAUCUGCCUUGGAGUGGGGAAUAACGGUUGGAAACAGCCGCUAAUACCGCAUGAAGCAGUUGAGGGGCAUCCCUGUGACCGCCAAAGAUUUAUCGCUCUGAGAUGAGCUCGCGUCUGAUUAGCUAGUUGGCGGGGCAACGGCCCACCAAGGCGACGAUCAGUAGCCGGACUGAGAGGUUGGCCGGCCACAUUGGGACUGAGACACGGCCCAGACUCCUACGGGAGGCAGCAGUGGGGAAUAUUGGGCAAUGGGCGCAAGCCUGACCCAGCAACGCCGCGUGAAGGAAGAAGGCUUUCGGGUUGUAAACUUCUUUUGUCAGGGAACAAAAGUGGGGACGUGUCCCCAUCUGCGUGUACCUGAAGAAAAAGCAUCGGCUAACUCCGUGCCAGCAGCCGCGGUAAUACGGAGGAUGCGAGCGUUAUCCGGAUUUGUUGGGUUUAAAGGGUGCGCAGGCGGUCUGUUAAGUCAGCGGUAAAAGCCCGGGGCUCAACCCCGGCGAGCCGUUGAAACUGGCGGACUAGAGAGGAAGAGAAGUAGGCGGAAUGCGCGGUGUAGCGGUGAAAUGCUUAGAUAUCGCGCAGAACUCCGAUUGCGAAGGCAGCCUACCGGCUUCUAUCUGACGCUCAGGCACGAAAGCGUGGGUAUCGAACAGGAUUAGAUACCCUGGUAGUCCACGCAGUAAACGAUGAAUGCCGGCUGUCCGGCCCGACUGGGGGCUGGGUGGCGAAGCGAAAGCGAUAAGCAUUCCACCUGGGGAGUACGCCGGCAACGGUGAAACUCAAAGGAAUUGACGGGGGCCCGCACAAGCGGAGGAACAUGUGGUUUAAUUCGAAGCAACGCGAAGAACCUUACCCGGCCUUGACAUCCCCCUGACAGUGUAUGUAAUGUACAUUCCCUUCGGGGCAGGGGAGACAGGUGGUGCAUGGUUGUCGUCAGCUCGUGUCGUGAGAUGUUGGGUUAAGUCCCGCAACGAGCGCAACCCUUACCCACAGUAGCCAGCACAAAAGGUGGGCACUCUGUGGGGACUGCCGGGGACAACCCGGAGGAAGGUGGGGAUGACGUCAAAUCAUCAUGCCCCUUAUGGCCGGGGCUACACACGUGCUACAAUGGCGUAAACAAAGGGAAGCGAGAGAGUGAUCUUAAGCGAAACUCAAAAAUAACGUCCCAGUUCGGAUUGCAGUCUGCAACUCGACUGCAUGAAGCUG